UACGAAGGGGGCUAGCGUUGUCCGGAAUCACUGGGCGUAAAGGGCGCGUAGGCGGCUCAUGAAGGCUGUGGUGAAAGUCCGGGGCUCAACCUCGGAUCGGCCGUGGCGACUCGUGGGCUGGAGCACUGUAGAGGCGGGUGGAAUUCCGGGUGUAGCGGUGGAAUGCGUAGAGAUCCGGAAGAACACCAGUGGCGAAGGCGGCCCGCUGGGCAGUGGCUGACGCUGAGGCGCGACAGCGUGGGGAGCAAACGGG
rnacentral:rRNA from 1 species